AACGAACGCUGGCAGCAGGCUUAACACAUGCAAGUCGAACGGGUGUAGCAAUACAUCAGUGGCAGACGGGUGAGUAACACGUGGGAACCUUCCUAGGGGUACGGAACAACUCAGGGAAACUUGAGCUAAUACCGUAUACGUCCGUGAGGAGAAAGAUUUAUCGCCCUUAGACGGGCCCGCGUCGGAUUAGCUAGUUGGUGGGGUAACGGCCUACCAAGGCGACGAUCCGUAGCUGAUCUUAGAGGAUGGUCAGCCACACUGGGACUGAGACACGGCCCAGACUCCUACGGGAGGCAGCAGUGGGGAAUCUUGGACAAUGGGCGCAAGCCUGAUCCAGCCAUGCCGCGUGAGUGAAGAAGGUCUUCGGAUUGUAAAGCUCUUUUGCCAGGGACGAUAAUGACGGUACCUGGAGAAUAAGCCCCGGCAAACUUCGUGCCAGCCGCCGCCGUAA
rnacentral:rRNA from 1 species